rnacentral:rRNA from 1 species
UACGUAGGGGCAAGCGUUAUCCGGAUUUACUGGGUGUACAGGUAGCGCAGACGGAACUGCAAGUCUGAUGUGAAAGCCCGGGGCUCAACCGCGGGACUGCAUCGGAUACUGUGGAUCUGGAGUGCCGGAGGGGCAAGCGGAAUUCCUGGUGUAGCGGUGAAAUGCGUAGAUAUCAGGAGGAACACCGGCGGCGAAGGCGGCUUGCUGGACGGCAACUGACGUUGAGGCUCGAAAGCGUGGGGAGCAAACAGGAUUAGAUACCCCGGUA